GUGCUAACUUCAGCAUCACAUUUAUUAAAGUUGGAACAAUCAAGAGAACAUUACCAAUGAUUCCUGGAAAUGGAUGACACCCAAAUCCAUGAAGUGUUCAAUAUAUUU